rnacentral:rRNA from 1 species
AGAUUGAACGCUGGCGGCAGGCCUAACACAUGCAAGUCGAGCGGUAGAGAGGUGCUUGCACCUCUUGAGAGCGGCGGACGGGUGAGUAAUGCCUAGGAAUCUGCCUAGUGGUGGGGGAUAACGUUCGGAAACGGACGCUAAUACCGCAUACGUCCUACGGGAGAAAGCGGGGGACCUUCGGGCCUCGCGCCAUUAGAUGAGCCUAGGUCGGAUUAGCUAGUUGGUGAGGUAAUGGCUCACCAAGGCGACGAUCCGUAACUGGUCUGAGAGGAUGAUCAGUCACGCUGGAACUGAGACACGGUCCAGACUCCUACGGGAGGCAGCAGUGGGGAAUAUUGGACAAUGGGCGAAAGCCUGAUCCAGCCAUGCCGCGUGUGUGAAGAAGGUCUUCGGAUUGUAAAGCACUUUAAGUUGGAGAAGGUUGUAACUUAAUACGUUGCAACUUUGACGUUACCGACAGAAUAAGCACCGGCUAACUUCGCGUCAGCAGCCG